rnacentral:pre_miRNA from 1 species
CCAGUCGUAGCCGAUGUUCCACAGCAGGGGCCAGGACAGACCCCUGCGGAACACCGCGCUCGAAGCG